rnacentral:rRNA from 1 species
UGUGUGUUAGUGGAAGCGUCUGGAAAGGCGCGCGAUACAGGGUGACAGCCCCGUACACAAAAAUGCACAUGCUGUGAGCUCGAUGAGUAGGGCGGGACACGUGGUAUCCUGUCUGAAUAUGGGGGGACCAUCCUCCAAGGCUAAAUACUCCUGACUGACCGAUAGUGAACCAGUACCGUGAGGGAAAGGCGAAAAGAACCCCGGCGAGGGGAGUGAAAAAGAACCUGAAACCGUGUACGUACAAGCAGUGGGAGCACGCUUAGGCGUGUGACUGCGUACCUUUUGUAUAAUGGGUCAGCGACUUAUAUUCUGUAGCAAGGUUAACCGAAUAGGGGAGCCGAAGGGAAACCGAGUCUUAACUGGGCGUUAAGUUGCAGGGUAUAGACCCGAAACCCGGUGAUCUAGCCAUGGGCAGGUUGAAGGUUGGGUAACACUAACUGGAGGACCGAACCGACUAAUGUUGAAAAAUUAGCGGAUGACUUGUGGCUGGGGGUGAAAGGCCAAUCAAACCGGGAGAUAGCUGGUUCUCCCCGAAAGCUAUUUAGGUAGCGCCUCGUGAAUUCAUCUCCGGGGGUAGAGCACUGUUUCGGCAAGGGGGUCAUCCCGACUUACCAACCCGAUGCAAACUGCGAAUACCGGAGAAUGUUAUCACGGGAGACACACGGCGGGUGCUAACGUCCGUCGUGAAGAGGGAAACAACCCAGACCGCCAGCUAAGGUCCCAAAGUCAUGGUUAAGUGGGAAACGAUGUGGGAAGGCCCAGACAGCCAGGAUGUUGGCUUAGAAGCAGCCAUCAUUUAAAGAAAGCGUAAUAGCUCACUGGUCGAGUCGGCCUGCGCGGAAGAUGUAACGGGGCUAAACCAUGCACCGAAGCUGCGGCAGCGACGCUGAUGCGUUGUUGGGUAGGGGAGCGUUCUGUAAGCCUGUGAAGGUGUGCUGUGAGGCAUGCUGGAGGUAUCAGAAGUGCGAAUGCUGACAUAAGUAACGAUAAAGCGGGUGAAAAGCCCGCUCGCCGGAAGACCAAGGGUUCCUGUCCAACGUUAAUCGGGGCAGGGUGAGUCGACCCCUAAGGCGAGGCCGAAAGGCGUAGUCGAUGGGAAACAGGUUAAUAUUCCUGUACUUGGUGUUACUGCGAAGGGGGGACGGAGAAGGCUAUGUUGGCCGGGCGACGGUUGUCCCGGUUUAAGCGUGUAGGCUGGU